rnacentral:rRNA from 1 species
CCUACGGGUGGCAGCAGUGAGGACUCUUGGUCAAUGGUCGGGAGACUGAACCAGCCAAGCCGCGUGAGGGAUGAAGGUACAGAGUAUCGUAAACCUCUUUUGUCAGGGAACAAAGGCGGGGCCGUGUCCCCGGAUGAGUGUACCUGAAGAAAAAGCAGCGGCUAACUCCGUGCCAGCAGCCGCGGUCAUACGGAGGAUGCGAGCGUUAUCCGGAUUUAUUGGGUUUAAAGGGUGCGCAGGCGGUCUGUUAAGUCAGCGGUAAAAGCCCGGGGCUCAACCCCGGGCCGCCGUUGAAACUGGCAGUCUCGAGUGGGAGAGAAGUAUGCGGAAUGCGCGGUGUAGCGGUGAAAUGCAUAGAUAUCACGAAGAACUCCGAUUGCGAAGGCAGCAUGCCGGCUCCACACUGACGCUGAGGCACGAAAGCGUGGGUAUCGAACAGGAUUAGAUACCCUUGUAGUC